rnacentral:rRNA from 1 species
GAGUUUGAUCAUGGCUCAGAUUGAACGCUGGCGGCAUGCCUUACACAUGCAAGUCGAACGGUAACAGGUUAAGCUGACGAGUGGCGAACGGGUGAGUAAUAUAUCGGAACGUGCCCAGUUGUGGGGGAUAACUGCUCGAAAGAGCAGCUAAUACCGCAUACGACCUGAGGGUGAAAGCGGGGGAUCGCAAGACCUCGCGCAAUUGGAGCGGCCGAUAUCAGAUUAGCUAGUUGGCGGGGUAAAAGCCCACCAAGGCGACCAUCUGUAGCUGGUCUGAGAGGACGACCAGCCACACUGGGACUGAGACACGGCCCAGACUCCUACGGGAGGCAGCAGUGGGGAAUUUUGGACAAUGGACGCAAGUCUGAUCCAGCCAUGCCGCGUGCGGGAAGAAGGCCUUCGGGUUGUAAACCGCUUUUGUCA